rnacentral:rRNA from 1 species
GACGAACGCUGGCGGCGUGCCUAAUACAUGCAAGUAGAACGCUGAAGAGAGGAGCUUGCUCUUCUUGGAUGAGUUGCGAACGGGUGAGUAACGCGUAGGUAACCUGCCUUGUAGCGGGGGAUAACUAUUGGAAACGAUAGCUAAUACCGCAUAACAAUGGAUGACACAUGUCAUUUAUUUGAAAGGGGCAAUUGCUCCACUACAAGAUGGACCUGCGUUGUAUUAGCUAGUAGGUGAGGUAAUGGCUCACCUAGGCGACGAUACAUAGCCGACCUGAGAGGGUGAUCGGCCACACUGGGACUGAGACACGGUCCAGACUCCUACGGGAGGCAGCAGUAGGGAAUCUUCGGCAAUGGGGGCAACCCUGACCGAGCAACGCCGCGUGAGUGAAGAAGGUUUUCGGAUCGUAAAGCUCUGUUGUAAGUCAAGAACGGGUGUGAGAGUGGAAAGUUCACACUGUGACGGUAGCUUACCAGAAAGGGACGGCUAACUACGUG